UAUAUAAUCUUAAAAAUAAGCAAGCAGUAGCAACAGCACUGCAACCCCUGGCUACCCACAAAUGGCACUGUGUCUAUUUGAAAGGCUAGUUAAAGGGGUUGAAUUCUGUACAGAGUCUUGAUGUUACCUGUUAACAUUCAUCAGCAAUAAUUGAGUCUAAACAGAGCAUAGGUACUGGGAAAGUGAAUACAAGUCACCUCCACUAGAGAAGACUAGACAUCAGACCUCAGAGCUGAACAGCUGUUGAAUGAUGGCUUCUGGAAGCACAGCAAAUGGCUUGGAUUAAGACCUGGCUACAAAUUUACAAGCUCAAGUUACUGUUGAAGCACAGCAAGUUGGUGUCCCUGCACACUUACAAGAAUCAAAUUUCUUUAAGAGCUUUUUGGCUUAUCCCUGAAGGGUAUCACUUGUUUUCUCUGCACCAGUAUUUGCACUACACUGUGGGCAACACCUCGAAGAAACACAGUAUAGGAGAUAUCUUGCUGCCUGACCUCCUAUGGGAAGAUUUUGCAGAUAGGUCCAGCAUCAUGCCCACUAGCCAAAAGGAACUCUGAUCUUCAGUUUUUGAUUUGAAAACAGGGCUGUCCUGAGAAACUGUAAGAGCCUUCACUGAGGAACAGGAAAGAGCAGCUGCUUGGUGUAUUCUUCAAGUGGUGAACACCUGCUUCUGGAGAGGUUCUCAAUUCUAUGCUGCCUACAAAACUCAGAACAAAACGAAGCAGGAUCCUGGAGGAGCACCAGGGCUCUGCACCUUGUGCGAAGACACUAGAACUCCCAGAGACCUUUUAAUCAGAAGUUGGCUACCAGACAGAUUACUUAGGUGCACACAAGGCAACAGAGGAGCAACAGAGAUCAACCUGAAGGAAGAUUAUCAAAUCACACAUCAAUACACCUGAGAUAGGAAUGAUCCAGAUCUUGUAAAUCAGGUUUGAAUCUGAAGUGUUUUGCAUAUGCUCAGCAAAGGACCACAGGAUGCUACUGGAAUUAAGACUACUGCCUGGGUAGCACUGCUGAUAGGAUGCUUUAUUUUAAAUUGUGUUCAGGUAUGUGUAAGUAUUCCUAAAAAAAUUCCAUUUGCAUCAGGCAGUAUUUCAAAGGAGAAGGUUUACCAAAUCUGGGAACAAUACAAAAGGCAUAUUCUAAUUGAAUUUCUGAAAUGUUAGAUCAGUAUGACAACACCACCACAGCUUUUAAAAUAAAGUAAGAGAACCUAUAAUCUAUCUGUACUUUUUUCCAGGAUGGUUGUAGUCUCUCUGAGAAUAUUUUCUAUCUGUACAGCAUAUUUAUAAAUUGUAGCAUAUACAAGCACAUAAAAGUAGAUUUCUAAGUUUUUAUUCAUUACACAGAAUUCUGAGAACUGUGUGUUUAUUUGAAAGUAGAAGGUAUACCUGUCUAGCGUAUAUGCAUUAUUUUUUUAAUUUUAUUUCGCACUUAUUUCAUGCAUCGCACAUUGCAAAUGAUACACGGGUAACCAAUGUACAGAGGGGUAAUACAGAGAAA